UCGGUCCUUCUCCUUUCCUGUCCUCUCUUCUCCUUUCCAAACACAGAUGAAAAUCAUCGAUGGAUGGAGUCACUACACCUCCACCAUCUGUACCUGUAUUCCAACUGUAAUUCCAACUGCAAGAUCACUCCUCCUCGUCAAGUUGGUGAUAAAUUCUGUUGUGUGAAGCGGGAUAGCCGAAAAAGAUCAAGCUUUGGUUGUGAUGAAAGAUGUUAGUGGUAGUUCGGAUUUCAAUUGGAAUAACCCAAGCUGUCGAACAGUACAAUGGCAAUGGUGCCAGCGAAAAAAGCUUUCCAUAAGUCUGCUGGUGCCAGAGGCUCUGGAGAUGUUGGGAAAUCUAAUGGGAAUGGCUCGAAAAGGUGAAUCUAGAGAGUAAGAAACUAUGAUGUUGAACGUUUUAAUCGAGAGCAUGUAAACUCAGAACCAGUCAACGUUAAGUUUCUUCGACAAAUUAAUAAACAAGAAUUUUGGACAACAUCAGUAAGGGUAUGGAGGAAGCUAAUAGCGAUUGUGAUGCUAAUAAUUCAAGGAUGACAGUGUCAAUGUGGUUCUGCAUGUUGGUCUUAGUUUCCUGCAUCUUGGAAUAUCGUCUACACCUGCACAUUCCAAGUUGAUCAAGACAUCUAUAGGUUCGAUUACAUUCUUGAUGAUUUUCGUUAUGUGAAGGUCCAGUUUCUUUAAAUGCAUACGAUGUUCGGGUUAACUACGUUAUCAAAUUUACUGGCUUUAAACUGAGUUCUUGGAGCUUAUCAGAAAUUAUCAUCGUGGUAAUUGUAGCACAUGCUUUCAUAUCGUCUAUGCAAAUAAUGACGAUUGUCAUCCAAGGACAAGGAGAUGAAGACAAUCUUUAUUUUUUCGGCAAUGAAUCAGUAGAAUGUGUAGUUUAAAAUUGAUAGCUUUGCGGCGACGCCGUCGCCCACCAUCUAUCUCUCUUUGUAAGAGAGAUUGCCUCAAGAAUCCUUAGCUGGCAUCCACAUCUCACCAACUUAUAGCUUGGAAUCCCACUGAGCUCUACUCUCAACUUUGACAAAGGUGGAAAGCUGCUCAUGACUUUGUUACUGAAUAUGACUGUUUUCACUUUUACAACUCAAAUGGAAGAGCACAUGGUUCUCAACCAUGCAGUUGUGGGUUCGAUUUCCACAGAUGGCAAAUUUAAUUCAGUAGGCUAAAAAUUUAAAUGCCUUCGAUGAAAAUCUUAGCUCUGCAAUACGUAGUACAACACAUAGAAGAAGCUCAGCAAUAAUGCAAAAGAAGCUUCGGAGAAAAGAGACAUGGCCUCGCAGGAAGUAUACAUUAUGAACUAAUCGACAACGUCACAUCUAAAUGUGCUGUUCCGGAAAAUUGGUAAGAAUCCCAGUGAAUUAUAUUUGUGGAUUUUAUCGUGUCUGCAGACUUAUGGAUCUAAGAAUGGGAAAAAUACGAUUCAGUCCAAAAACGCAUUAAAAAGUACAUGUUAGUCCAUCCCUAGUUAACUAGGUACAGUUUAGUCCAAAAGUUAUUUCAAAUAUGGAAAAUACACAUAUAACCUUACUGAUUUACAAUUUAGCUCAAAUAUUUACAGUUUAGUCCGCGAUGAUGUCAACAAUUUUAAAUAACAUAAAAAUAACUACAAACCAAUUUAUCUUUCGAACUGUUGGUCCAAAAUUUGCAAAUUUUAUAUAUUUGGAAAGCUCUUUUCAAGAUCUACAAAAAGAGUACCCAUAUGACUAUAUAAUUUUUAUUUUUUUAAAAUCUUAGUUUACACUACAAAAAUCUAGAAAAUCCAAAGACAAGAUAAGGUGCACCAGUUUGUACACCACAUGCAACUUGAAUCGUCCACAUAAGCAAAAUCCUAGCCUCAUCUACCGAAGCGAAUCCACCCGUUGGUGUAUCCCAAUCAGGCUCAUCCUUGUGCAUACAGUAUCUGCUACCAGUGUCUCAAAUGCACCUGAUAAUUUAGCAUGUACAACCUGCUACCACCUUCACAUGAAUUACUCAGUCAAACUACAAAAUAGAUGCAAUCAGAUUCAAGUCUCGAUCUCAGAAAAACAAGGAGAAAUUUAAAAAACAAAAUUAAAACUGAAACUGGAAAAUCAUCAAAUUCUUACUACUGAAAAACAAUAACACAGUUCUAUCAAGUUCAAGUUCACACAACAAUAUAAACUGGUGGUGCAUAAUACUAUACUCAAGUUCAAAUUCACACAUCUUGGGGCACACCUACAACACACCACAUAUAUAUAUAGUGCUCAUGCAACAUAUUCCACGUUGGGAGUAAUGAUAGUGGGAAAAAAACAGUUCUCAUUAAAAAAAAAAACAAAUUUCUAUUUGAGAGUCAUGCCGCUACAUACAUGUUAGCAUGUGUAAAACUAUGUAUACACUAACAUGAUACAAGAUAUGCUCAUCAUUAUUGAGCCUUGAUUAUAAUGUCACACACAUAUGCUCAUGAUACAACACGCCACACCUACACUACUGAGCCUUGGAAAGAUAUGCCGCUUCAAUAUUCUGGCAUCGAGAGCAGAAGAAUUAGUGAACAAAAAUGCACAAGUGAUACGAAAUCAAUUAUAUAUGAGAAAUUCUAAAAUGAUACAAGUACGGUUAACAGUUUUAUAAUCAUGAUGUUUGGUUGUAUGCAUUUUCACGUUUAAAAUGUUAUUCAUCCUUAUAAGCUAGGUUGUGCGUGUGAGAGAGAGAAUACAUUCUCAACAACUAUUGGGUCUUUCACCACUACCUCUAGACUGCAUGUCUCUCCCUGCAAUUUACAACCCUCAAAAUUUGUAACAAACACAUUUUGUUCUUAGAUUUACAGUACAAGAAAUUAUGAGUAACAUUUUGUUCAUU